UAGCUCAGUCGGUUGGAGCGUGGUGCUGAUAACACCAAGGUGGCGGGUUCAAUCCCCAU
rnacentral:tRNA from 1 species